rnacentral:rRNA from 1 species
AUCGAACGCUAGCGGCAUGCCUUACACAUGCAAGUCGAACGGCAGCACGGGUGCUUGCACCUGGUGGCGAGUGGCGAACGGGUGAGUAAUACAUCGGAACGUACCUUAUCGUGGGGGAUAACGCAGCGAAAGCUGUGCUAAUACCGCAUACGCCCUGAGGGGGAAAGCGGGGGAUCGCAAGACCUCGCGCGAUUAGAGCGGCCGAUGCCUGAUUAGCUUGUUGGUGGGGUAAAAGCCCACCAAGGCGACGAUCAGUAGCUGGUCUGAGAGGACGAUCAGCCACACUGGGACUGAGACACGGCCCAGACUCCUACGGGAGGCAGCAGUGGGGAAUUUUGGACAAUGGGGGCAACCCUGAUCCAGCAAUGCCGCGUGAGUGAAGAAGGCCUUCGGGUUGUAAAGCUCUUUUGUCAGGGAAGAAACACCGGCUCUAACACAGUCCGGGAAUGACGGUACCUGAAGAAUAAGCACCGGCUAACUACGUGCCAGCAGCCGCGGCAA